rnacentral:rRNA from 1 species
AAUUUUAGCGGAGAGUUUGAUCCUGGCUCAGGAUGAACGUUGGCGGUGUGCCUAAUACAUGCAAGUCGAACGGUGACCUUUUUGUAGUAAUACGAAAUUGUCAUAGUGGCGAACGGGUGAGUAACGCGUUGGUGAUCUGCCUCGAAGUGUGGAAUAACGUUCCGAAAGGAACGCUAAUACCGCAUGUGCUCUCAGUCUUUAGAAAGUUGAGAGUAAAGG